rnacentral:rRNA from 1 species
UGAACGCUAGCGGCAGGCUUAACACAUGCAAGUCGAGGGGUAACAGGGAUUGCCUGCAAUCCGCUGACGACCGGCGAACGGGUGCGUAACGCGUAUGCAACCUACCUUUUACAGGGAGAUAGUCACCAGAAAUGUUGAAUAAUACCCCAUACGAUCAUUAAUCUGCAUGGAUUAAUGAAGAAAGUUCCGGCGGUAGAAGAUGGGCAUGCGUCCUAUUAGUUAGUUGGUAAGGUAACGGCUUACCAAGACGUCGAUAGGUAGGGGUCCUGAGAGGGAGAUCCCCCACACUGGUACUGAGACACGGACCAGACUCCUACGGGAGGCAGCAGUGAGGAAUAUUGGACAAUGGAGGAAACUCUGAUCCAGCCAUGCCGCGUGCAGGAAGACGGCCCUAUGGGUUGUAAACUGCUUUUAUACAGGAAGAACUGUACCUACGUGUAGGUAUUUGACGGUACUGUACGAAUAAGGAUCG